CCUGUGAGGUCAGGUGGCAGGGUGGACAGCAGGCACAGGUCACAGGGACUUGAUCAGUUAAAGGGACAGGGGAGGAAAAUGAGGCGUGACUGGGGUCAGGGUGGCAGGAGUGAUCAGCAGCGGUGAUACAGGCUAGUCUAUGGCACUAAUAGUGGGCACGGUGAAGUUAAUACAGGGUCGAUCUCCCCUGGGGCCACUAGAGGGCGACUGAGUCAGGGGACACAGGACCAGUAUGCAGAGACCAGUCAGGCUGACAGGACAAUGGGGGUUAGUGGCGGCUGGUGGUGAAGUCAGCCUGGGUCAAGAUGGUACAAGAGAACUCUGCAAGGGAAUGAUGUCCCAGCCUGAGUUCCAUCCUCCCCUCCCAAAGGCAGCCGCUUUGCCCAUGCCCACUUCUGAGCGCACUUUCCCAGCAUGCUCUUGGAACCCUCUCCAGCCACCUCCGGGCGUGCCCCACACCCUGCUACUGCGCAAGCUCACCUCCGGCAUGCCCACGCAGCCGCAUAAGGCAAGUUCUCCGCCCAGCCUCACUUAUCGCCAUUGCGCAUGCACCACAGCUCCAGGCAAGAUGGCCGCCUGCUAUCAGAAAGAGCUGCCGAGCACAGAGCGAAUCGAUGGGAACCCUUUGCAGGGCGUGGGAGUCUCGCACGCGCACUGAGGGACCGUAGCUUAGGCACAAGGACUGAGACUCCACCCCUUGGGCUCUAUGCUUUCCGGAAUGGCACUUUUUGUGUGAGUAUACCCAAGGAUAAUGUCCGGGACGAGGGUACAGCGACAGGGGUGAGUCAGUUAAUUACUCACUAUAAAUCAGAAAUACGACUUUCAGAAACAAACUGAAAAGAAACGGCUUUUCAGAGUAGUUAUCUUGGCCCAGCAAAACGGACUACUAGAAACAUAAUCAUACACGCCGAGAUCCCUAGAAAGCUCUCCUAGAAUGUUCUGCAGUGACUGAUGGGCCUCCGGACACCCCUGGGAUGAGAUGAGUCGGUUAUGUGUGUGUCACUGGGAGUGGUUGGAUUUGGAUGCCCCCAGACAGCUGGAGGCUUGCCUCUAAAGGCAGGGAAAUACUUCCUGAAAACAGUCUUUGGGGUUUGAGUCUAAGCAGGCUACCCGAGGUUUCAUUUCACCUUCAACAGAAAGCUGCAUCUCAAACUGUUCACCUUAACAUCAUCAGAAUAAACAAUUUACAAGGUUGAAAUACAGUGUUCACAGGCCGGCGCCGCGGCUCACUAGGCUAAUCGUCCGCCUGCAGCGCCGGUACCCCGGGUUCUAGUCCCGGUCGGGGCGCCGGAUUCUGUCCUGGUUGCUCUUCUUCCAGGCCAGCUCUCUGCUGUGGCCCGGGAGUGCAGUGGAGGAUGGCCCAAGUGCUUGGGCCCUGCACCCCAUGGGAGACCAGGAGGAAGCACCUGGCUCCUGGCUUCGGAUCAGCGCGGUGCGCCGGCCAUAGCGGCCAUUUGGGGGGUGAACCAACGGAAGGAAGACCUUUCUCUCUGUCCCUCUCUCUCUCACUAACUCUGCCUGUCAAAAAAAAAAAAAAAGAAAGAAAGAAAUACAAUGUUCACAGUAGUUUAUUGGGUCUUAAUAUCAACUGACAACAUUUUCAAAACAAUUUUCAUGUUAUCUUUAACAAUUUUUUUGUUUUUGUUUUUAAUUUGAAGAGGAGAGACAGAGCGAGCUAGCUCAUCUGCUCUCUCCCAAAAUUCCCACAACAGCUGGGUCAGGACCUGGGAACUGGGAACUCAGUCAGGGUCUCCCGUAUGAGUGGCAGAAGUGCAAAUACUUGAGCCAUCACUGCUGCCUCCCAGGGUGCACAUCAGCAGGAAGCUGGAAUCAGGAGCAGAGCCUGGACCUCAGUGCAGUCACUUCAGUAUGGGACGCAGGCAUCCCAGCUGGCAUCUUAGCCACUACACCAAAUGACUGCCCCUUUCCCACUAUUUGUAUAAAGAAGACAGUUAACUGGAAUGGGUUUUUUUAAUUACUUAUUUGCAAGUCAGAGUUACACAGAGAGAGAAAGGGGGUGGGGGUCUUCCAUCCACUGGUUCACUCCCCAAUGGGCCACAAUGGCUGGAGCUUCGCUGAUCUGAAGCCAGGAGCCAGGAUCUUCUUCUGGGUCUCCCACGCAGGUGCAGGUGCCCAAGGGCUUGGGCCAUCUUCCACUGCUUCCACAGGCCAUAGCAGAGAGCUGGAUCGGAAGUUAAGUAGCCAGGUCUCGAACUGGUGCUCAUAUGGGAGGCUGGCCUUCUGGCCAGGGCUUUAACCUGCUGCGCCACAGCACCAACUGAAGUGUUUUAAAGCCAGGCGAGCCGGCGCCGCAGCUCAAUAGGCUAAUCCUCCACCUAGCAGUGCCGGCACACCGGGUUCUAGUCCCGGUCGGGGCGCUGGAUUCUUUCCCGGUUGCCCCUCUUCCAGGCCAGCUCUCUGCUAUGGCCCGGGAAGGCAGUGGAGGAUGGCCCAAGUGCUUGGGCCCUGCACCCCAUGGGAGACCAGGAUAAGUACCUGGCUCCUGCCAUCGGAUCAGCGUGGUGCGCCGGCCACAGCGCGCCAGCCGUGGCGGCCAUUGGAGGGUGAACCAACGGCAAAAAGGAAGACCUUUCUCUCUCUCUCUCUCACUAUCCACUCUGCCUGUCAAAAAAAAAAAAAAAAAAAGCCGGGCGAACUGAGAUGUAUCCAAAAAUGGUGUUACCCUUUUUCUGUGUUCUAGCAAAAAUAGAUCACCUUGCAAUAUAUGGAAUUGAUAUCUCCCUUGUCUAUGUAAGUCAUUGUCUUUUCAUAUUAGUCUUCUGUAACAUGGUUGCUAAAGAAUGAACUGUAUUUCAAGGUAAAUGUGUAACCUUCACAAGAACCACUAACAUUGGGUAAUGAAUGUGCUGGGCACUGUCCAAGGUGAUUUGUAUGCAUUGAUCCACAUAUUUUUUAAGGUUUAUUUUAUUUAUUUGAAAGAGCCACAGAGAGAGGUAGAGACACAGAAAGGGGUCUUCCAUCUGCUGGGUCACUUCCCAAAGGUCCACAACAGCUGGAGCUGCGCCGAUCCAAAGCAAGGAGCCUCCCCUGGGUCUCCCACAUGGGUGCAGGGGCCCAAGGACCUGGGCCAUCCUACACUGCCCUCCCAUGCGCAUCAGCAGGGAACCGGAUUGGGAGUGGAGCAGCCAGGACCCGAAACAGCACUUAGAUGGGAUAUUGGUGCCACAGGCCGGGGCCUUAACCAGCUGCGCCACAGCACUGGACCUAAUCCAUCUACUUUUUUCUUUAAAUUGAAAUUCCUAAUACAUUUCUCAUGCACUUUAAAAAAAAAAAACAGAUUUAUUACUUAUUUGAAAUGCAGAGAGAGAGAGAAAGAGAAAGAGAGAAAGGGAUCUUCUAUCCACUGGUUCACUCCCCAAAUGGCUACAAUGGCUGGAGCUGCGCCGAUCCGAAGUCAGGAGCCAGGAGCUUCUUCUGGGUCUCCCACACGGGUGCAGGGGCCCAAGGACUUGGGUCAUCUUCUACUGCUUUCCCAGGCCAUAGCAGAGAGCUGGAUUGGAAGUGAAGCAGCUGGGUCUCAAAUCAGCACCCAUAUGGGAUGCUGGCGCUUCAGGCCAGCACGUUAACUCGCUGAGCCACGGCGCCGGCCCUGAUACAUCUACUUUUAAUAAGUGUUGUGGGGCCUACUACUAACCCCAUUUUACAGAUCAGGAGACCUAAAGGCCAGGGAGUUCAAGGGUGACACUGAACUGGUCCCAUAUUUGUGAUCAGCAUUGGGUUUAUUUCCAUGUCCUUUUUCCACCAUAAAGGAUGUGAUAAAUGUUUUUUCCAUUCAUUUCUACCCUCCCUGGACAGAGCCGUGCCCUUCAUUCUACCCACUCUGCCUCCAACAGGAUGGGAGGAAGGGAGGAAAUCACAGGAGAGUCCAAGAUCCCCCAGGGAUUUACUGUCUCACCGUUGGAAUGAGAUCUUUUGUUGUUGUUUUUACAAUAUUUAUAUAUUAACAUCUAAAACAUUAUUUUAAAUUGUUUUAAUUGUUUGAAAGGCAGAGAGAAAGAGAAAUUUCCCAUGCACUGGUUCAUUGCACAAAUGCCCACAACAGCCAGGUCUGGGCCAGGCUGAAGCCAGGAUCCUGGAACUCAAUCCAGGUCUCUUACAUGGGUGGCAGGGACCUAAGUAUUUGAACCAUCGCCUGCUGCCCUUCACGGUGUGCAUUAACAAGAACCUGGAUGAAAGAGAGCAGAGCCAGGGCUUGAAGUCAAGCCCUCUGAUAUGGGAUGCAGGUGUCCCAAUCAGCUCCACAAGCUACCUGCUCCUCAAACAUUAUUUUUUUUUUAAUUUUUUUAAUUAAUUAAUUAAUUUAUUUUUUGACAGGCAGAGUGGACAGUGAGAGAGAGAGACAGAGAGAAAGGUCCUCCUUUUUGCCGUUGGUUCACCCUCCAAUGGCCGCCGCGGCCAGCGCACCGCGCUGAUCCGAUGGCAGGAGCCAGGUACUUAUCCUGGUCUCCCAUGGGGUGCAGGGCCCAAGCACUUGGGCCAUCCUCCACUGCACUCCCGGGCCACAGCAGAGAGCUGGCCUGGAAGAGGGGCAACCGGGACAGAAUCCGGUGCCCCUACCGGGACUAGAACCCGGUGUGCCGGCGCCGCAAGGCGGAGGAUUAGCCUAGUGAGCCACGGUGCCGGCCAUGCUCCACAAACAUUAUUUUUAAAAUUCAUCCUAUAAGGCCAUAAUAUGUUAUAGAAAACAAUCUAAUGAAAGGGUAGUAUGAGUAACACACAUCAAGUGUUUACUACAUCUGUAGCCUGAACGUUGCUGUUUUUAAGAGCAAUAUAAUCUGUUUCAGAGGCAGUAUAACUUGGCCACUGGCAAAGGCUUUGCCAACUGUGAGUUAUAUGGCUUCAGGUAAGUUGUAUAAUCUGGCUGUGGCUCAGACUUCUCAUCUGAAAGAAAAGCAUCUCAUAGGGUUGGCGUGAAGACUGAAUGAGCUAGUACUUGUACAGCUUAGUCUAGCAUCGGGAACAGAGUAAAUACCCAGUCAGUGCUGCCUACUCUCCAUUUUUUAAGAAACUCCCCCAAAACAUAUUCACCUCCCAGAGGUAGUUCUGGUGCAGAAAUCAUGCAAGUAAGAAUGACCACAGCUACCACUUGUAUGCUUUGAAUUGUUCAAGUUUUAAACUUAAAAUGGGUUUGAACAAUAAGCUGACAGCAGAAAGCACUUGCAGUUGGGAGCUUUGGAGAAAAAGAGAUUUGUCUAUGUAAGUGGCAGUGUUAUCAAACCCACAUCCAAUUCAUUGUCCCAAAGAAUGCAAUAACUGAGGCUGGCUGGCAUUUUGGCACAGUGAGUUAAGCCUCUUGGAAAGCCAGCAUCCCAUAUCAUAGAGGGAUGGUUCGAGUCCUGGCUACUCUAUUUUUUUUUACAGAUUUAUUUAUUUAUUUUAAAGGCAGAGUUACAGAGAGGGAGGGAGGGAGGGAGGGAGGGAGAGAGAGAGGUUUUCCAUCUGCUGGUUCACUCCCCAAAUGGUCCCAGUGGCCAGAGCUGGGCCCAUCCAAAGCCAGGAGCCAAGAGCUUCUUCUGGGUCUCCUACGUGGGUACAGGAGCCCAAACACUUGGGCCAUCUUCUACUGCUUCCCAGGCCAUAGCAGAGAGCUGGAUCGGAAGCGGAGCAGCCAGGUCUUGAACCGGCACCCAUAUGGGAUGCCGGCACUGCAGGCAGCAGCUUUACCAACUAUACCACAGUGCCAGCCCUAGCUACUCUAUUUUUGAUCCAGCUUCCUGCUAAUGCUCCUGGGAAAGCAGCAGAGGAUGGCCCAAUUACUUAGGCCUCUGACACCCACAUGGGAGACCCAGAUGGAGUUCCUGGCUUCUGACUUUUGCCUGGCCCAACCCCCACUGUGGCCAUUUGGAGAAUGAACCAGCAGAGGAAAGAUCUCUCUCUGCCUUUCAAAUAAAUACAUAACUAAAUAAAAAUCAUUCUAAAAUGUACUAAAAAAAAACUUAUUUUUUUUAAAAAAGGUUAAUGGGGCUGGUAUUGUGGUAUAGCAGGAGAAACCUAGUGGUUGCUGGGUUAUGUCCCAGCUGUUCUGCUACCAGCCCCACUCCCUGAUGAUGCCAUGGGAAAGAUCAUGGAGGAUGGCCCAAGUGUUUGAGUCCCUGCUAUGCAUGCUGGGGAUCUAGAUGGGACUCCUGGCUCCUGCCUUCAGUCUGGCCCAGCACAGGCUGUUGCAGUCAUCUGGGGAGUGAGCCAGUGGAUGGAAGAUCUCUGUCUCUCCCUUUCUGUCUGUAACUCUUUCAAAAAUGAAUAAAUAAAUAUUUUUUUAAAAAAAGAGGAUACUGGCCGGUGCCGCGGCUCACUAGGCUAAUCCUCUGCCUUGCGGCGCCAGCACACCGGGUUCUAGUCCCGGUCGGGGCACCGGAUUCUGUCCCGGUUGCCCCUCUUCCAGGCCAGCUCUCUGCUGUGGCCCGGGAGUGUAGUGGAGGAUGGCCCAAGUGCUUGGGCCCUGCAAAGACCUUUCUCUCUGUCUCUCUCUCACUGUCCACUCUGCCUGUAAAAAAAAAAAAAAAAAAAAAAGAGGAUACUAGAGCCAAUGUUGUGGCACAACAAGUUAAGCUGCCACCUGUGACACCAGCAUCCUACAUCCAAGUGCCAGUUAGUCCCCACUGCUCUGCUUUCUAUCCAACUGCCUGCUAAUGCACCUGGGAAAGCAGCAGAAGAUGGCCCAAUUACUGGGCCCCUGCCACCCACAUGGGAGACCCAGAUGGAAUUCCUGUUUCCUGGCUUCAGCCUGGUCCAGUCCUGGGCUUUGCAGCCAUCUGGGGAGUGAACCAGAGGAUGAAGAUCUCUUUCUCUGUUUCUCCCUCUGUCAUUCUGCCUUUCAAACAAAUCUUUAAAAGAAAAAGAAUCUCAUAAAUCAGGACAAGGAUGUGGGGAGAAAAGUUUACUCAGGCCGCUAGCAACCUGGGAAGUGGCAGGCUAAUGCCUUGACAUCCAACCAGUCCAGUAAAGGAAAGGAAAUCAAAAUUUCUGUAGGAACUACAGAUUGCCCUACGUGACCAUGGUCAAGUUAAAGGUACGCAGGACAGGAAAUUCUUCCCGUCAUUGUGGCACCAUUCCGUGGAAGCCUCUCUCAUAGGAAGCUUGGUUGUUUGGGCUGUGGUUGUAAAUCUCUUCCUUAUCUGGGGUGUGCUGUUUCUGCCAGUCUUUCUCUACAGUCCCAGAUCCAAUCCUGUGGUCCUGCUGACUGGGCUGGGCUGAUUACUUUGCACCUUAGCCAGCUUUCUUAAGGCCAGUUUCUGGAAUUCUCAAACAAGCAUUAUUUAUUAGUCACAAGAUCAGCAGUUAGCUUUUGUUACUGAGAAUGGGGAAAAGGAAAGGAAAAUGGAUUUAGUAAAGAUACAGCAGGUCAAUGGAGGGGCAGAAGGUGGCUCACAGGCCUGGGGCUGCCAAGUCACUAGAAGCAGCUUCUCCAGGUUGUGAGGGACCUUGGUUACAAUCAAGACAUCUAGAAACAAAGCUUCAGCCAUGGGGGACCACAAGUCCCAUUCAUUCUAACAAUCCAGGGCUAUUUCACUGCCAGAGUGAUGGGCAAGGGCCCCAGCCAAAUAAACAUCAAAAGCAGAUUUGGACAGAAAAGCCAGGUAAGCCAGAGCCCUUUGAAGAUAAUAUUCGUCACUGCAGUUAACUCCAACUGUGGAGGACACAGGCAGGGGCCAUGUCUUUCCCAGACUAGUCCUUCCUUCCCAGGCCUCCUGCCAUCUGCCAUUUAUACCCCGCCCCUGCCCUGCCCUGAGGGUUUUUUUUUAAGAUUUUAUUUAUUUGACAGGUAGAGUUACAGAAAGUGAGAGGGAGACACAGACAGAAAGGUCUUCCUUCCAUUGGUUCACUCCCCAAAUGGCCGCCACGGCCAGAGCUAUGCCGAUCCGAAGCCAGGAGCCAGGUGCUUCUUCUUGGUCUCCCAUGCGGGUACAGGGGCCCAAGUACUUGGGACAUCCUCCAGUGCCCUCCCGGGCCAUAGCAGAGAGCUGGAUUGGAAGAGGAGCAGCCGGGACUAGAACCGGCGCCCAUAUGGGAUGCCGGCGCUGCAGGCAGAGGAUUAACUUACUGCACCACGGCACCGUUUUGUUUUAAGAUUUAUUUAUUUAUUUGAAAGGCAGUUCGGGGCUGGCGCUAUGGCUCACUUGGCUAAUCCUCCGCCUGCGGCGCUAGAAUCCCAUAUGGGCACUGGGUUCUAGUCCCGGCUGCUCCUCUUCCAGUCCAGCUCUCUGCUGUGGCCCGGGAGGGCAGUGGAGGAUGGCCCAAGUGCUCGGGCCCUGCACCCGCGUGGGAGACCAGGAGGAAGCACCUGGCUUCUGGCUUCGGAUCGGCGUAGCUCCUGCUGUGGCGGUCAUUUGGGGGGUGAACCAACGGAAGGAAGACCUUUCUCUCUGUCUUUCCCUCUCACUGUCUGUAACUCUACCUGUCAAAUAAAUAAAAUAACUUUAAAAAAAAGAAAGAAAGAAAGGCAGUUACAGAGAAGCAGAGGCAGAGCGAGAGCGAGAGUCUUCCACCUGCUGGUUCACUUCCCAGAUGGCUGCAAUGGCUGGAGCUGGGCCUGUGGGAAGCCAGGAGGUUCUUCCAGGUUUCCCAAGUGGGUGCAGGGGUCCAAGCACUUGGGCUAUCUUCCACUGCUUUCCCAGGCCACAGCAGAGAGCUGGAUCAGAAGAGGAUCAUCUGGGACUUGAACCAGUGCCCACAUGAGAUGCUGGCACUGCAGGUGGCAGCUUUACCCUCUACGCCAUGGCACUGGCCCUAUGCCCUGGGUUUAGAAACGCAAAGGAGGGGGCUGGCUCUGGGGCUGGCAUCCCAUAUGGGCGCUGGUUCAAGUCCCAGCUGCUCCACUUCUAAUACAAGUCCCUGCUAAUGCACCUGGGAAAGCAAUGGAAGAUGGCCCAAAUCCUUGGGUCCCUGUACCCACACGGGAGACCUGGAAGAAACUCCUGGCUCCUGGCUUCAGAUCGGCCCACCCCCGGCCCUUGUGGAUAUUUGGGGAAUGUGCCAGUGGAUGGAAGAAACACAAAGGAAAGCAGGGCCCACAGUGGCUGUGUCUGCUUUUCCUGACUACCACAGGUGGAAGUGGGGCCCAAUUCAGAGGACAAAAUGGAGCAUGACUUGAGGGAAGCCAGGUGGCUUGGGAUGAUCAGGAUGUACUGAGAAUCAAGGCCAGUUAGGGAAUGGGAGGAGCCUUGGAGCUGAGGGAUAAUUGGAGUGAAGAUGUGGAAUCAUCAUUCACUUGUCUCAUUCCUGAAGUUUCUUCCUAAAUGGGGCAAGUGGGGAUUGGGAUGGGAGAGCACAACUUAAAUUUUACUGUUUCCUGAUGAGAAAUCACUUGUCUCGGGCUGGCAUUUUGAACAGUGGGUUAAGCCACUGCCUGUGAGAUACUGGCAUGCCAUAUUGGAGUGCUAGUUCAAGUCCUGGCUGCUCCACUUCUUCUUUGAAGAUUUAUUUAUUUAUUUGAAAGAGUUACACAGAGAGAGAAGGAGAGGCAGGGGGUGGGGGGAGAGGGAGAGAGGUCUUCCAUCUGCUGGUUCACUCCCCAGCUGGCUGCAAUGGCCAGAGCUGGGCCAAUCUGAAGCCAGGAGCCAGGAGCUUCCUCUGGGUCUCCCUCAUGGGUGCAGGGGCCCAAGGACUUGGGCCAUCUUCUGCUUUCCCAAGCCAUAGCAGAGAGCUGGAUUGGAAGCAAAGCAGCUGCCCAUAUAGAAUGCCAGCACUGCAGGCGACAGCCUUAUCCACUAUGCCACAGCACUGGCCCCUGCUCCACUUCUGAUCUACCUCCAUGCUAAUGUGUCUGUGACAGCAGCAGAGGAGGGACCAAGUGCUUGGAUCCCAGCCACCCACAUGGGAAAUGUGGAUGGAGUUCCAGUGCUCCUGGCUUAAGCCUGGCUCAGACCUGGCUAUGGAGGCCCUUUGGGGAGUGAUGCAGCAGAUGGAAGAUAGCUCUCUCAAUAAAUCCUUAAGAAGGAAAAAAAAAAAAAAGAAAACCUUUGUCUCCAAAGCCAAAGUUCUUAGAACUUCAUAACUCUCCAUGGACCAAGUUAGCAAUGAGAUUCCUGCAAUCAGAAAAAGCUGCAUCGAGCCCCUUGGGUAGCUCCCAGUGAUAGGGGCUCUUGGGGCUCCUGGAAAGGAAAGGAAGAAAUAAACAUGAUGUAACCCUUCAGGAGCCCCAAGGGAGGAGGAGACACAAUCUUCAGAUGUUGUCAUGUCUGCCUCAUGGAUCUGAUUGAGCACUCUGCAAACUUCUAUAGAAAACAGUCUACUUUUAGUCAGUUCCCUGAUGGGUUCACCUUGAAUGCCUCAUUAGCAUACAUGUCAACCUCCUUUAGAAACAUAAAAGUCUGAGCUAGGCGUUCUUGAGCAGCAGGUCUGGGCAAGUAGCCCUCCAGGACAGGCAACUGCAGGACAGGCCCUCCAGGCUGCUGGAGAGCUUUCUCUACUUCUUUCAACAAACAUCCUUUACUUUGUUCACCCCUUCCUUGUUUGUGUGCCUCAUUCUUCAUGGUCACGAGACAAAGAACCCAGCAGAGAAGAGAAGUUGUAACACAGAAGACUGCAGUAUUCCUUGAUGGAUCCAGCAGAGGAGGGAAGCUGUGAUCCAGAAGAAUGCAAUGCUUGAUGAACCCGGCAGAAAGGAGAAGCUGUGACCCAACAGGAGACACUGGAACACAGAGAGCCGCAACACAGAGAAGAACUGCAACACACCAAGCUGGAACCUGGAAGCUGUGCUGUUCCUGAAGACUCUGAUGCAAAGAAGAAUCUGCCACACCUCUCAGGGAUGAGAUGCGGACAGAACCACUGGAGCCAUAGACCUCUCCUGCCACUACCCCUGCAACACCGACACCAGAAGUCUUGCAACGCCAGCACGCAGAAAUAGCAAGCCAGCCUUCUGAGAGGUGUCUUCAGCUCCUGCUAUGUGCCAGCGCCAAGGAAGAUGAUAGAGCUGCCAUUCUGGUGCCAAACACCGAGAAAACAAUUUCAGAAAUUGGUUCCUGCUGUUUGCUCCCUGCUAAUGCUCUGGAGAAGGCACUAGAAGAUGGGCCCAUGCGGAUUAUGUGGAAGACCCGGAUGGAGUUCCUGGCUCCUGACUUCAGCCUGGCCCAGAUCUGCUAUUAUAGCCCUUUGAGGAGUGAACCAGCCAAUGGAAGAUCUGACUGUUGCUCCUUCAAGCAGAGUGGACAGUGAGAGAGACAGAGAGAAAGGUGUUCCUUUGCCGUUGGUUCACCCUCCAAUGGCCGCCGCGGCUGGUGCGCAGUGCCUAUCAGAAGGCAGGAGCCAGGUGCUUCUCCUGGUCUCCCAUGGGGUGCAGGGCCCAAGCACUUGGGCCAUCCUCCACUGCACUCCCAGGCCACAGCAGAGAGCUGGCCUGGAAGAGGAGCAACCGGGACAGAAUCCGGCGCCCCGACCGGGACUAGAACCCGGUGUGCUGGCGCCGCUAGGCGGAGGAUUAGCCUACUGAGCUGCGGUGCCAGCCACAAGACACCAUAAUUAACAGGUGUGUUGAGCUCCACCCACAAAACCUUCCCAGAGAUCACCAGGAGCACUUAACCCCACCCAAAUUCCACCACCUUUGUGUAUUAAAUUAGGGAACUGCAUCUUACAAGAUAAAGGGGGUUACUGAACUGGGGUGGUGCUAGAUCCUCCUCCAAGGUUGCCCACAUUUAGUUGAGUGUGUGUACCAUCUCUUUAAAUAAGCCUUGCUUUUAUUCUUGCACUUUGUCUGCUUUGGAUUUUUUUAAAGAUUUAUUAAUUUGAAAGGCAGAGAGAGGUCUUCCAUCCACUGGUUCACUCCUCACAUGGCUGUGCCAGAGCUGUGCUGAUCCAAAGCCAGAAGCUUCUUCUAGGUCUCUUGUAGGCGUGCAGGGGCCCAAGGAUUUGGGCCAUCUUCUGCUUUCCCAGGCCACAGCAGAGCUGGAUCAGAAGUGGAGCAGCCAGGUUUGAACCAGUGCCCAUAUGGGAUGCCAGUACUGCAGGCAAUGGCCUUACCUGCUAUGCCACAGCACCGACCCCUGGAUUCAUUUCUUACACCUUGGAGUAAAUCCAUCUGGGGACCCCCACAUGUCCCAGCAAAGUGGCUGUUUAAAAUAUUUAUUUGAAAGAGAAAGGAGAAUGAAUCUCCCAUCUGCUGGUUUACUCCCCAAAUGGCCACAGCUGGGCGGGCUGAAACCAUGAGCCAGAAGCUUUUUGCAGUUCUCCCACGUGGGUGCAGGGGCCCAAGCACAUUAGUAAGGAGCCAGAUUGGAAGUGCAGCAGCCAGGACUCUAACCGGGCCCAUACCAGCCCCAAAAACAUUUGGUAAAGUAGCAAAAAUUGUCUUGUGCACUGUGCACUUCAGGUAUUGUAGCGUUCAAACCAGCAUCCAAAGUAACCAGGUCGCAUGACCUCUGGAUAGCACAAGUUGAUGUGGGGAUUCCUGUCCCUAAACCCCUCUGCUACUCUUGCUUUCCUUUUUGCCAAAUGUUUUCUUGGUAGGAUGGACCUGCUGACUUUUUACUUUACAGUUUAACCCACAUGCUGGUUUUCCAGCCUUCAGUAUGAGUAAAAGGAUGCAAGAACUUAAAGGACUCUUCAAUGGUAUAUUAGAAAUGUCUAUUCAGAACAGUGUCAAGAAUUUUUAAGACAUUGUAAGUCUUAUGUAUUUGGAAGUAUACACUUUUUUUAAGAAAAGAUUUAUUUGCAAGGCAGAGUUAGAGAGACAGUCUUCCAUCUGCUGGUUCGCUCCCCAAAUGGCUGCGCCAGACUCCAUCUGGGUCUUCCACGUGGGCAGCAGGGGCCCACACGCUCAGGCCAUCUUCUGCUGCUUUCCCAGGCAUAUCAGUGCCGCCACUUCUGGCACCAGCAGCCUUGUGUGAGCCCCCACUGCUCCACUCAUGAUCCAGCUCACUGAUGCACCUGAGAAUGGCCCAAGUGCUUGGGCCCCUGCAUCCAUGUGGGAGACUUGGCAGAAGGCUCCUGGCUUCUGAUCUGCCCAGCUCCAACUGCUGCUGCCAUUUGGGGAGUGAACCAGUGGAUGGUAGAUCUGUCUCUGCCUCUUAACUCUUUCAAGUAAAAUAAACCUUAAACUUGAGGUCUCCAUCCUUUUGGUAGUCCAUGCUCACUUGCCUACCGGAUCUUUCCCAAGUUUCCUUCCUCCUGGAUCGGCUCUGAAAUUACAAACUUGGCUGAAUAAGGAAACAGCAUUUGUUUUCAGGUUUCAGCUUUUAUUCAUCUUAAUGAAGAACAUCCUAAACAUCAUGAGACACAACAGAAUGCUUUUUUUUCUUCCACCAUUUAAAAAAAAAAAGACAUUUACCAACAUUUCGAAGAAGCUCUUCUCUAUAACCUUGGCAAUGUAAAAAAGGCCCUAAAGUUAUCAUGUUGAUGCAGAUUUCUUAAGUGUGUUUGGAAACUGCUUCCUAUGAUAAACAUUUGUAUAAGAUUUCUAAAAACAUUUUUUGAUACAAAUAAAAAAUAAAAAAAGUCUGACCAAAUUGGUUUUUUUCUGGCCAGAAGCAAUAAUCCUGAGAGUCUAAACUAAUAAAGUAGUGAAAAGAAAAAUGCUCAGGCCCUGCCAAUGUCCUAUUAUCUUUAAAUGGGAGAAAAAAAUUUUUACAAUAAAACAUGGAGCUUUCUAAAAGGUCUUUAACAAGCUACCCUGGGAGCUCAAUUCAAAAAUAAAGUUGAUAUACUAAGAUGUUUCAGUGCAGCUCCAAAAAAAAAAAAAUCGUUAUAAAUAGACGUUUGGAAGGAUGAUCCUGGAUCAGAAGUGUUAUU